AGUUUGAUCCUGGCUCAGGAUGAACGCUAGCUACAGGCUUAACACAUGCAAGUCGAGGGGAAACGAUAGAGAAAGCUUGCUUUUUCUAGGCGUCGACCGGCGCACGGGUGAGUAACGCGUAUCCAACCUGCCCAUCACUUGGGGAUAACCUUGCGAAAGUAAGACUAAUACCCAAUGACGUCUCUAGAAGACAUCUGAAAGAGAUUAAAGAUUUAUCGGUGAUGGAUGGGGAUGCGUCUGAUUAGCUUGUUGGCGGGGUAACGGCCCACCAAGGCGACGAUCAGUAGGGGUUCUGAGAGGAAGGUCCCCCACAUUGGAACUGAGACACGGUCCAAACUCCUACGGGAGGCAGCAGUGAGGAAUAUUGGUCAAUGGGCGAGAGCCUGAACCAGCCAAGUAGCGUGCAGGAUGACGGCCCUAUGGGUUGUAAACUGCUUUUAUAAGGGAAUAAAGUGAGUCUCGUGAGACUUUUUGCAUGUACCUUAUGAAUAAGGACCGGCUAAUUCCGUGCCAGCAGCCGCGGUAAUACGGAAGGUCCGGGCGUUAUCCGGAUUUAUUGGGUUUAAAGGGAGCGUAGGCCGGAGAUUAAGCGUGUUGUGAAAUGUAGACGCUCAACGUCUGCACUGCAGCGCGAACUGGUUUCCUUGAGUACGCACAAAGUGGGCGGAAUUCGUGGUGUAGCGGUGAAAUGCUUAGAUAUCACGAAGAACUCCGAUUGCGAAGGCAGCUCACUGGAGCGCAACUGACGCUGAAGCUCGAAAGUGCGGGUAUCGAACAGGAUUAGAUACCCUGGUAGUCCGCACGGUAAACGAUGGAUGCCCGCUGUUGGUCUGAAUAGGUCAGCGGCCAAGCGAAAGCAUUAAGCAUCCCACCUGGGGAGUACGCCGGCAACGGUGAAACUCAAAGGAAUUGACG
rnacentral:rRNA from 1 species